rnacentral:misc_RNA from 1 species
AAGUUGUAACAAGGUUUCCGUAGGUGAACCUGGGGAAGGAUCAUUAAAGAGAGAGGGUCUCCAGGCCCAAACCUCCCCCUGCAAUCAAACCUAGCCUUGCCUUUGAUUGGGUGGACCGCCAUCCACGAGACGUGAACCCCUGAUCCAUCUGUGGAGUCUGAGCAUGAUACAAUAGUUAAAA